rnacentral:pre_miRNA from 1 species
GGGGGAGUGGGGGUGUCCCUCAGCCCAGAUUGUGAGAGGGCGCAGGCCAAGCCGAGGGACUCUACUAGUACACG